GAUUAGAGUUUGAUCAUGGCUCAGAUUGAACGCUGGCGGCAUGCCUUACACAUGCAAGUCGAACGGCAGCAUGGAGGAGCUUGCUCCUCUGAUGGCGAGUGGCGAACGGGUGAGUAAAGCAUCGGAACGUACCGUGUAGUGGGGGAUAACGUAGCGAAAGUUACGCUAAUACCGCAUACGCCCCGAGGGGGAAAGUGGGGGACCGCAAGGCCUCACGCUAUACGAGCGGCCGAUGUCGGAUUAGCUAGUUGGUAGGGUAAAGGCCUACCAAGGCGACGAUCCGUAGCGGGUCUGAGAGGAUGAUCCGCCACACUGGGACUGAGACACGGCCCAGACUCCUACGGGGGGCAGCAGUGGGGAAUUUUGGACAAUGGGCGAAAGCCUGAUCCAGCCAUGCCGCGUGAGUGAAGAAGGCCUUCGGGUUGUAAAGCUCUUUCGGCUGGGAAGAAAUCGCACAGGCUAAUACUCUGUGUGGAUGACGGUACCAGCACAAGAAGCACCG
rnacentral:rRNA from 1 species